rnacentral:lncRNA from 1 species
ACGGACGAGAUUAACUAUAUCCCUUUAUUUUAGGGAUUUACAAGAUAAGCCUUAUCAAAUCUAAUCUAAUCUUUACAAGAUAAGAUUCCCUCUAUCUUCUAAGAUUAGUUACCAUAUCAGCCUGAAUCUCUUCGUUAUCGGGCCAACCGGGCUUCAAUCUGACAGGCUCUUCCAAUUGCUCAUUGAAUCGGGCCAGUUCUCGUGGGCCAAAUGAUCCCCAUCUGAGCAAUAGACCUCCAUUGGAUGCAUUUGGUGCGAUGGUCACGGGCUUUGAACUGCGGCCCGUGACACAU